UACGAAGGUGGCAAGCGUUACUCGGAAUUACUAGGCGUAAAGGGCAGGUAGGUGGUUUGGUAAGUUUGUUGUGUCAGUUCCCGGCUCAACUGGGAAAGGUCAACAAAUACUGCCAGGCUUGAGUAUGGGAGAGGGUACUGGAAUUCCCGGUGUAGCGGUGAAAUGCGCAGAGAUCGGGAGGAACACCAAUGGCGAAAGCAGGUACCUGGACCAUUACUGACACUCAGCUGCGAAAGCUAGGGGAGCAAAC
rnacentral:rRNA from 1 species